CACUUGUAGGCUUGAAGCUUAUAGUUUUUGAUAGGAGUAGCACCUGCCCAAAAGCAUGAUGCUAGAAGAAUUCUCAUAAGGAAAACCAGGGUGCUACUUCCUUUCGCAGUCUCUGCGGUGAAGUUGGGAGGUAACAAUGCUAGAAGAAUCCUCAUGAGGAGGUUAUAUCGUUAUCCCCGUCGCUUUGUCCAGGACACACCGCUACGGAAGUGUGUAGCACAACUUUCUUGUAUUGUGCUUUUUUUCUUUUUUUUGCGUUGUAGCUUCUUAUCCUGGGAUGUCAGCUAUCCCAGAGCUAUUUACAGUUGCUUGUAAUAUGUAUUUGUCAGCAGUCUUUCC
rnacentral:lncRNA from 1 species